rnacentral:lncRNA from 1 species
AUUGAAUAAUAAAUCAAUUAAUUAGCUAAUUAAUAUAAUUUGAAAGGAAAGAUUUGGGGGUUACCUUGUGGAGAAUAUUUGAUGAGGAUGGAUGAUUUUAAAUAAAUACCUAUUUUGGGCACUUUUGACUUGAUUAAGGGAUGGUUGUCCACUGCUCGCGCGUAGGAGUUUCGGUGUUCCUCGAGGGUGGUUUUGUCCUUUUUACCCUAGAAUCCACGUGUCACCUCCAUAUUAUUCUUGAUUAUUUUUUGCUCCACAAAUGCCCCACACCUAUUAGGCUGCUCGUAGGAAAGGGCAGUAGGUGUAAAGAUCUUCUUGCUUUAGGAAACAUAAGAUUGUUUCCUAUUUUGUUGUAGAUUCCCUCUUUAAUUAGAAAUUAGAUCCUUCUAGGAAAGGGAAAUAAAUCACUUCUAAAGUCUAAUUAAGUCUACCUUAAGUAGAUGAUUAAAUUAACUUUAGAGAGCAAUCUAUUCUACCAUACAAGAGAGAGAAAGCUAGAGGAUAUUUGUUCCCCCUCCUUUAGCAAUAUUCUA